UACGUAGGGACCAAGCGUUGUUCGGAUUUACUGGGCGUAAAGGGCGCGUAGGCGGCAUGACAAGUCACUUGUGAAAUCUCUGGGCUUAACCCAGAACGGCCAAGUGAUACUGUCGCGCUAGAGUGCGGAAGGGGCAAUCGGAAUUCUCGGUGUAGCGGUGAAAUGCGUAGAUAUCGGGAGGAACACCAGUGGCGAAGGCGACUACCUGGCC
rnacentral:rRNA from 1 species